GACGAACGCUGGCGGCGUGCUUAACACAUGCAAGUCGAACGGCAAGGCCCUGCUUGCAGGGUCCUCGAGUGGCGAACGGGCGAGUAACACGUGGGUGAUCUGCCCUGCACUUCGGGAUAAGCCUGGGAGACUGGGUCUAAUACCGGAUAGGAGCCAUUUUUAGUGUGAUGGUUGGAAAGUUUUUUCGGUGUAGGAUGAGCUCGCGGCCUAUCAGCUUGUUGGGGGGGUGAUGGCGUACCAAGGCGACGACGGGUAGCCGGCCUGUGAGGGUGGACGGCGACAUUGAGACUGAGAGACGGCACAGGCUGCUACGAGAGGAAGAUGUGGGGAAUCUUGCACAAGGGGCGCAGGCCUGAUGCAGCGACGCCGCGUGGGGGAUGACGGCCUUCGGGUUGUAGACACCUUUCGCUAGGGACGAAGCUUUUUGUGACGGUACCUAGAUAAGAAGCACCGGCUAACUACGUG
rnacentral:rRNA from 1 species